rnacentral:SRP_RNA from 1 species
GCCAGGCGUGGUGGCACACGCCUGUAAUCCCAGCUACUCGGGAGGCUGAGGCAGGAGAAUCGCUUGAACCCAGGAGGUGGAGGUUGCAGUGAGCUGAGAUUGUGCCACUGCACUCCAGCCUGGGCAACAGAGCGAGACUUUGCCUCAA